CUCACGCAGAGGGCAGCGGUUGUAGCACCGGCGCCUUCCCGGUGGGGGUUUUUUGGCCUGGUUUUUUUUUCGUCCGAAGUGAAUUUGGAGUAGCUUUGCUUUGCAUUUGAGCCCCGUCGUUGCUGGAGUAGCCAGCUCUCCCGUAAAGCCGCUCCGGCCCACUUGAGGCUUCCUCAGGUGGUGCAGCCCGCGGGGUGCGGAUCUGAGCCGAGCCAGGGGAGCCCGGCGGAGUGAGCGCGGCGGGGGCACCAUGCCUGCCACCUUCUCCGGCCGCUGCCUGGUGCGCCUGCUGCUGCUGCUGCUCUGCACCAGCCUCUCGGGCGGGAGCCUUGCAGAUCCAGCUAUGACAACACAAGACUCCAAUCAGACUUGGGUGAAUUCUGUGACAAAGAUGCAAGCUGGACAUGAAUCAUCUGGUGCUGCCACACAAGAGCUCAAGCCUGGAAGCAAGCACAGCACUGAUAUCACUGAGUAUGAGAUAGUCCUGCCUGGUGUGUCUGAAAAAAAUAUCUCUUUGGCCAGUCCAGCUACAGUUGAACUUACAUGCAAAUUAGAUGAGAAUUCGAAUUUGAAAGAUCCUCAAGUGACUUGGAAAAGGGGAAGUGAAACAAUCAGUCACACCAGUAAAACUCCAAACAGCUGGACCAUCCAACUGACCAUCUCAGGGAGCAGCGAGCUGGGAAGUUACACUUGUAUUCUGAAGGCUGAAAAAGAAGUCAGUGCCACGUUUCAUUUGCACGUACCAACCAUUGAAGGAAGAGAAAAACCCAUAAUCACUUACAUAGGUGAUACAGCUGUAAUGGUUUGUAAAGCUGAGUAUGAUGCCAAGGCUUGGAUGUGGUAUAUGACCAAUGGAACUGAGCUGGUUCCCAUUGAUAAGGUUUUGCCUCUGGACAAGUUUGAAAUGAAGAUGCUAUCUGCCAGUGAAAACCGUUUGGAGAUACACAAGCUCACCAUGGAAGAUAGUGGUGAAUAUUGGUGUGAAGCUGCUUUUGAAUUAGCGGGCAGUAAAGCGAGGUUUGAACUUAGGGUUCUGUCCAUUGCAGAACCUCUCAAACCCUUUAUAGCAGCUGUGGCUGAAGUUGCUAUUCUUGUAACUACUAUUGCCCUCUAUGAGAUGUAUUCGAAAAAGAAGGCAAAAGGAGGUGGAAAAGAAUUUGACCAAAUUGAGCAACUUAAAUCAGAAGACAAUGUAACCAGAGGAGACAAGUAGUUCUAUGCAGAGAAGGAAGGUUCCUUUCAAGCUUUACCUGCUGAGCUUGAUGCUGUAUGGGAUGGAGAAUGCCUGUGAUCAGCUAGGGGCAGGUGCUCUGGCUGUGUCACUUCCCAACUCUUUGUAUUCCCCCAGCCUCCUUGCUGGCAAGGGAGAGGACAAGGUCUUGUGACAGUGAGAUUUAAGCCAAUAGAAGUGAAAAUUCCCACAAAGCUUCAGAAGAUGUAUACAGCUACUUAAACAUUCACUGUGUUUUGAAGUAAAGUUCUCUACAUUUGAGAAAUAAGAUGCUUUUAAAAUAGCUCUGAAAGUAGUCAUUUUAUACCGAUGAUAAUAUGAUAUAUUGUAUUUAGAAGUUUAUCUGUAACAUUUUACUGCUAGCAGAGUGUUUUUUAUGUGAUUAGGCUUGCUCUUGGUGUAUGAUUAUUUGUUUGAUUUUUACCUCCCAAAUUGGAACUAGCAUUGUAUUCACUGAAAAAAUGGUCAAUAUAAAGUAGGUAUAUUAUCUGAGUGUUACAAAACGGGAUAUAUACAAUGAAAAAAGUAUUUACACCAGAGAAAAUGCCUUUUACUAGCUGAUGAAGCAAAUGUGAUGCAGCUAUUUUUACCAAAGAAAUGGUGAAAGAGGAAUCUUUAUCAGGACUUAGAGUAAAUCACAACUCUCUCAAUGUUUCAUUUGAGUAGUAAAAUACCUUCAUUCUAACUUAUCUUAGCUUCAUUCUCAGUUCUACUGUAUUUUAGUCCUUAGUAAGCUAAACGCAUAGAUGCCAUACAGCUCAGAUAUUUCAGAGUUGAAGAAGUAUUGGGGAUACAGUACCUUCUCAGACUAAAAUUGCAAUAAUUCCUUAUGCUUGAAAAAAAUACUGCACUCUCUGGGGCUGCAAGACCAGUUUGGUUAUUAUAAUUUAUAUGGAAUGCUGAAUUUUCAGGAAUACACCUAUAUAUGUUUCUGAUGAUACAUACUUUCUAGUUGGUACUUCUGCUUCUUUCAGUAAGCUGUUGUUUCUCAAACUCCUUGCAAAGCACAGAGUGGGUCCUGAGCAGCUAAAAUUUUCAGGAUAAUAGGAUGAAGCAGCAUGAGUACCAUUACUACUCUUACACAAAAAAUUAAACGCUGCUGUUAAUGAUUUACAGUAUUGCUUUAGAAGAGUGAGUUGUCAUAAUACUGUUCAGUUACAUUAUGCAUUCAGCAAUUGUAAAUGUUUAGCUAAUAAGAAAAUGGUUGUAUCAGUUGCCUUUGCUUGAAAUAAUUAAAGCUUCUCUUUUGAGAGGAAGUAAAUUCUUCAGGAAAUUCUUUUCUCCAUAAAAACGUAAGGAAAGAGGCAGCAUUUGCAGACUCCAUGAGAAAGUGGAAGAAAAUAAAUACACAGAAUUUCUUUGUACUGGUCAUUUUUUUUUUGAAAAUAAAGGAAGGUAGAAAAAAUAGAUAAAACAAAUUGAAUUCCCUUUCUUGAUUUUUUUUUUUUCUGUCUUAUUGUCCUUAUGGGUUUUAAAAAUAUCAGAAAUCCUAGCAUUGGCUGUUUCGUUGGAAAUAGGAGUUAAAAUCCAGUUUGACAUAUGCUUUUUUGUUUUUUGUAAUUCAUUUUCCAGUUUGAAGAAUUACAAGUUAAGGUCCAAAUAAGACACAAUGAGAAGUAUGGAAGCAUUGGGUGAUUGACUGUAAGGAGUGAACACUGAUAAAUAAGGAGUGAACACUGAUAAAGAUUCCCCUUUGCUUAGAUACUGUGUUUAUUGUAUUUUGCCUUGGAGUUUCUAUGCACUAUUACAACUAGAAUGCGUCUACAGUUUUUUAUAAGAAUUUCUCAUUGAUACAAUUGAUGUUUUUAUUGUAUCAAGUAAAUGUGGGCAGUUUCAAAAUGUUUUCUUCUUUAAAUGUUUGUAAAUUUUUGGCAUAUUUUAGAGUUUGUAGUAAUUUGUUUACUGUAGGCAGUUAAAUAGUAAUAAAGUUAUUCUUACUUAGCUAAGAAUUACAUUCUGAAUAAAGCAGCAUUAAUAUAUUUUACAAUGGAAAUGAGGCUAGAUGCUAUCUGGAAAAAAACCUGCCAGUUAAUGAGAAAUAUUAACAAUCUUUCUGCCUUCAUAUAACAUUCCUACCUGAUCUUGCAGUUGGACUGUAAAGUCUUGGCUAACAUAGGCAAGUUAUACAGAUGGAUAGUUUUUUAGCAUUAGCAGGGAAAACCUGGAUUAAGCAUGGAUUUUAGAAGCAGCACAUCUUAGAUCUUUAAGGGCUAUAUAAGCUUGGUCAGACUGGCUGCUAAAGCUAUAGCUUUGCCUUGACCUGCCUCUAGCAUGUUCUGCUUGCUUUUUCUGAGGGGUUUGGUGUUUAUUUUUAGGUUGAUUAGUAGUUUUUCAUGAUUAUAAGAGGUUUUAUUCUAUGCAUGUUCUCCUAGGUUUAAAACCCUUUUGGGCUGCCCUGUGGAGGGUAAGAACAAAUGAUAUUAAAUGGUAAAUAUUAAGUAAUUGUCAUAAUUAAUGGUCAACUUCAAAGGCAUAAACUCUGCUUUUCUUGCUCUAAGUACCACAAGCUCUGGAAAUCUUGAAGUUUAUCUUUUGGGAAGCAUGUGUUGGGUAUGUUCAGAACAUUCCCACUGUACUUGCUUUAUGAUCUUAGCAUUGAAUAGAACAAAAAUUUGUAACUUUAAAAAAGCCUUAAAACUCUAGCCAGUGAUUUAUUAUUUUUCAUUUCAUUCAAGCUGGAGAAUACCAAAUCUUUCCAAAUAAGAUCCAAAACAAUUGUGAAAUUUCUUUCAAACACCAGUUGGAGCUAAGUGUAAUGAUCCACAAAAUUAGUUUUAAUAACAAAACAUUAACAACAGACUUACAUUGGUAGACCGGAUCUUAACUAUAACUGUUUGACAAAUUUUGUCUUCCCAGAUUAAAACCUUUUCUUGCAAGAGGGGAUAUUUUACUGGAUUUUAGACCAGCAAAAGCCUUACCAGUUUCAUAGCGGAAAAGGUUGAAAUCUGCCAAAGAAUCCUGGAGGCCUGUUUCCUAAACCUUGAAGCUGCUACACUGCAGAUUCUUCCUGCCCUUGGGUCCAAAGUAGACACAAGCAGCUGUGAGACCAAAUUCCUAGUGAAGAUGGGGUUCAAACAGGACUACAUUAAUAUUUCUUUAGUGUGGAAGCAUACCUAAGCAUUACCCUGCAGUUGUUCAGCAGAAUUGGUUAGCUGUGGGUCCUUCAACUCAUGUAAUUCUGGGGAAGAGAGUGACAACUCAUACGUACUGGUGCUGCUGCUAGAAUCAGCAUCCAUGUGCCUUUAACUCUUUUUCAGCCAGAAGAAGUGAGGUUUAUAGUCCUUUAAAUUGUGCCUCAGAACUUUUGAACAGUUGAUUGCUGAGCAAUGAAAAUUGAAAAGAAACUGAUUGGUACCUUAAGGGCAGGGGUGGUUUUUGAGAUGUGUGACACUCUUAAGUGUUGAGCUACCCAGCACAUGUUGUCUGACCACGAUUAGCUGCAUCAUGGUUCAGUUCUAGCUGGAAGCUCCCCUGAAAUAGCAAGGUGCGGAUAGUGAGGGAGCAACAAGAUGAGAAAGUUUUAGGGACAUGAGAAGGAACUGCAUUUUAUUGUUUUGUAGGGGUCCUGAGGGACAGACAGCAGAAGCUGAGGUGACUUAAAAUUAGUCAUGUACAGGGAACACGGAAUGCAAGAGAACACAGUCUCAGUGGUACAAUUGAAAACAUGUUUAGGAAGUUUUGUAUAGCAGCUGAAAACAAUCUGCCAUUGCUGAACACUUGGACAGAUGAUAGCACAAAGCUAAAUGAGAUGUCUCAUAAGAGAACUAAAAGUUCCAUGCUUAGAAAAUACUUCUCUGCUAGUUUAACAGUUUUGUAGUCUUGCUACUUCAUUAUGCUAGAAUGUGCAUACAUAAUUCUUUGUGAAAAAAUAAACUACCAAGUUUCAAACUUUACAGCUUCUAAUGGAAGAUCUUGAUUUGUCAAAAUGUACUGUUGGCAAUUGAGUUAAUUUGUGUAGUUGUAUAGUGUUUGUUCUGUCAUACCCAAAAUUACUUCCUUCCAGAAACUUUUUCUGCUUUGGUUUUGCAUUCAGCUUUAUAUUUAACCAAAGAUAUUUUGGGGCUUUUUAUUACUUACAAUAUUUCUAUUGACUGACUUGCUGAAUUAUUUUCAGAUUGACAUUAAAAGUUAACAGUGCCUUGAAGGAAGACUUUGUUUACCAUAGUUAAUCUUGUUUUUCUCUUUUGCAAUAUGUUUGCUAAAAGUUUCCCUCUGAAACUUGACAGCAAAAUCUGUUUGUCUAGUAAAAGACUACUAAGCCUAGUGCUUUUUUCACGCUCGCCUUAUUUUGCAUUCUGAUUUUAUGUUCUGUGCUCACACAACUGUUCUAUUUUAUUACUUAAUGGAAAUGCCUUCUGUUUGUUUGAUGUAUAUCACAUAAUGAGGAUGGUAGUUAUGAAUAGUGUGAAUUGAUAUGUGUACUUAGAAAUAAUUUCAAUAAAUUUAACUAUAAAGGGA